rnacentral:rRNA from 1 species
UGGGGAAUAUUGCACAAUGGGGGAAACCCUGAUGCAGCGACGCCGCGUGAGUGAAGAAGUAUUUCGGUAUGUAAAGCUCUAUCAGCAGGGAAGAAAUUGACGGUACCUGACUAAGAAGCCCCGGCUAACUACGUGCCAGCAGCCGCGGUAAUACGUAGGGGGCAAGCGUUAUCCGGAUUUACUGGGUGUAAAGGGAGCGUAGGUGGUUAGGUAAGUCAGAUGUGAAAGCCCGGGGCUCAACCCCGGGACUGCAUUUGAAACUAUCUAACUAGAGUGCAGGAGAGGUAAGUGGAAUUCCUAGUGUAGCGGUGAAAUGCGUAGAUAUUAGGAGGAACACCAGUGGCGAAGGCGGCUUACUGGACUGUAACUGACACUGAGGCUCGAAAGCGUGGGGAGCAAACA